rnacentral:rRNA from 1 species
CCUACGGGAGGCAGCAGUAGGGAAUCUUUCACAAUGGGCGAAAGCCUGAAGGAGCAACGCCGCGUGCAGGAUGAAGGCCUUCGGGUUGUAAACUGCUUUUAUAAGCGAGAAAUAUGAUGGUAACUUAUGAAUAAGGAUCGGCUAACUACGUGCCAGCAGCCGCGGUCAUACGUAGGAUCCGAGCAUUAUCCGGAGUGACUGGGGGUAAAGAGUUGCGUAGGUGGCAUAAUAAGUAGCUAGUGAAAACUGGUGGCUCAACCAUUCAGACUGUUAGCUAAACUGUUCAGCUCGAGACCGUUAGGAGUAAGUGGAAUGUGUAGUGUAGGAGUGAAAUGCGUAGAUAUUAGAAGGAACACCGAUAGCGUAGGCAGGGUACUGGGACGGUUCUGACACUAAGGCACGAAAGCGUAGGGAGCAAACGGGAUUAGAUACCCUUGUAGUC